UCGUUGUUGAAAUACCACCCUUGGAUUACUUGAUAUCUAAUCCGCCAAAAGCGGAGACAUUGUGUGGUGGGUAGUUUGACUGGGGUGGUCGCCUCCAAAAGAGUAACGGAGGCUUUCAAAGGUACCCUCAGUACGCUUGGUAACCGUACGUAGAGCGCAAUAGCAUAAGGGUGCUUGACUGUGAGGCCAACAAGCCGAUCAGGUACGAA
rnacentral:rRNA from 1 species